GGAAAUUUGUACUCCUUAAAUCUGUGCUUCACUUUCUUUGGAAAACUUUCUGAAACAGAAAUGUUUGCUAUCACUAUGUGUUUUGGGCUGCUGGUGCAUUUAAAUAGAAUUCAUCUGAAAAUUUGUGCUACUCAGCAUUAGCACUGAUCGCAAGACUUAUUUUGCUCUAAUGUAAAAUCAGUUAUACUAAGCAAUGUAUAUGUAGUGUCUUUAGUGUAUAUGUGUGUGCCCGCAUGUGCCGUGCCUGUGUGUGUGUGUGUGCAUGUGUGCAUGUGCGUGCGUGUGUUCGCGUGUGUGUGUGUGCAUGUGUGCAUGUGCGUGUGUGUGUUCGCGUGUGUGUGUGAUUUUGUCUGUUAUGUAUUAUAUAUAUUAUAUUUGUAUUUUUUUCUCAACACAGCUAUGCAACCAUAUUGCUAAUAGAAAAAAGUGUCAGUAUGUUGGCAACUGUUCCUUUGCUCAUAGUCCUGAGGAACGGGAAGUGUGGACUUACAUGAAGGAUAACAAAAUACAUGAUAUAGAGCAGUUUUAUGAACUCUGGCUGAAGAACCAGAAAACUGAAAAAAGUGAUGAGACAUCCAGUCACUGUAGCAAAGAAAACGGGAAGCAGAUCCACAUGCCAACAGACUAUGCGGAAGUCACUGUGGACUUCCACUGCUGGAUGUGUGGGAAGAACUGUAACAGUGAGAAGCAGUGGCAAGACCACAUCUCCUCCGAGAAGCACAAGGAGAAGGUUUUCCACACUGAGGACGACCAGUACUGCUGGCAGCACCGCUUCCCC
rnacentral:lncRNA from 1 species